AACGAUAACGCUGGCGGCGUGCUUAACACAUGCAAGUCGAACGAGAAAGAGUUCCUUCGGGAACUUGAGUAAAGUGGCGCACGGGUGAGUAACGCGUAGAUAAUCUACCCUUAUAUAUGGAAUAACUGAGCGAAAGCUUAGCUAAUACCGUAUACGCUUUUCCGGUCGCGAGGCCGGGAGAGGAAAGAUGGCCUCUGACUCAAGCUAUCGUAUAAGGAUGAGUCUGCGUACCAUUAGCUAGUAGGUGGGGUGAUGGCCUACCUAGGCUACGAUGGUUAGCGGGUCUGAGAGGAUGAUCCGCCACACUGGAACUGGAACACGGACCAGACUCCUACGGGAGGCAGCAGUGAGGAAUUUUGCGCAAUGGGGGAAACCCUGACGCAGCGACGCCGCGUGGGUGAUGAAGGCUUUCGAGUCGUAAAGCCCUGUCAGGUGGGAAGAAACGUCAUCGAGCUAAUACCGCGAUGAUUUGACGGUACCACUAAAGGAAGCACCGGCUAACUCCGUGCCAGCAGCCGCGGUAUACUGAGGUGCAGCGUUGUCGGAUUACUGGGCGUAAG
rnacentral:rRNA from 1 species